GCAGGCUGAAACCCGCCUGUAUGAAGUUGGAAUCGCUAGUAAUCGCGGAUCAGAAUGCCGCGGUGAAUACGUUCCCGGGUCUUGUACACACCGCCCGUCGCACCAUGGGAGUCGGAAAUGCCCGAAGCCAGUGACCCAACUGAAAGGAGGGAGCUGUCGAAGGCAGGUCUGAUAACUGGGGUGAAGUCGUAACAAGGUAUC
rnacentral:rRNA from 1 species